rnacentral:lncRNA from 1 species
ACAAGAUUUUACCCCCACCUUCUUAUAGUUGCCAGGGGGCUCUCCUUGGUCAUAACUCUGAGAGGGAGGGAGGAUGGAUUUACUGAGUGCCUCAGCGGGCAGGCAGCCUUGGCCUAUGGGGGCUCUUGAGCUUUGUCCUGGAAGAGUUGGGCUUUACCAGACACAUUGGCACAAAUUUAUACCUGUGUCUGCCUUCCUCAGGUCACGGACAUAACCAGGAGGCUCAAGGUUACGAAUGACAGCACCUUGCCCUGACAGAGCAUCUUGGAAUUCUGUAACAUCCUAUAUCAAUCACCUCUUUUUAUCCUCGUGCCAUCACUGUGAGAAGGUGAUUUUGCCGCUUAAAAUAGUCCCCGAAUGUAGUGCUGAAGGUCUGUCUAGUGAUCCUGAGUGCAAGAAGGCCAUGGUGUGCCUUAUGGAGAAAAUAGCUGUGUUGGAUAAGCCUUGUUCAGGAGCAAUGGCUUGGUAUUCACUAACUCCGUGUUCCAGCGACUUUAUGGAACAUAUCUACCAUGUGCAAUGAGAACUGACUGCACUUGUUUAAAGCCCCACAACAAGUUUCCAAGGCAUGUGAACUUGAGUCCACUGAUUUCCACUCCAGUAAUCUUCCCAGUGUCCCCCAGUGCUUCAAUGCGCUGGCUCCACUGUGGCUCCUUGAGCAACGAGGUGCCAGCAGCAGCAGCAGACAAUGAUGACCACAAAGACAACAACACUUGCACAGCCCCUGCCUUCUGAGAGCCUGUGCUUAACAAGGGCUGGUGCUACAUGGAAACACGAAUAAGAUAUACAAGUGUCAGAAUAAAACAUGGUGCCAGACUAAAGGGGUGAGGAGGAUCUAGCAGGAGUACCUGCCACUUAGACAAAGGCUGGGAACCCCCCAGGAAGAGAAGCAUGCAGUUACAGUAGAGCCAUCUGGAAAAUCACCAGGGAUCAACAGAGUCACAAGAGGGGGGGGGGCACCCAUGAGCUCACAGUCCUUCCCCAGCCUUGUCAACAUUCCUGCCCCACCCUACACUACAUUUCCCAGUGAUCCACAGCUCACCAGUCAUUGGUCCUCAUACCAUCUCAUUUGAUUCCCCAGUGACUCAGUGAGGCAGGGGAGACAGGCAUCACCAUGUCCAAUUCACAGAGGAAGAGCUGGGAUGAGGAGUCUGCACUUGGGGGCAGGCGCCCAAAAUUCAUGUCCAUGGCUGUUUUUAUGCCAUGCUGAGACUGGAGCAGCUGGCUUCCCCGUGCAGGCUGAGGGCCCCCUUCAUGAACUGCCCAGACUUCACCUUGGCCUCCAUCCACCCCUGUUUUCUUCCACUUGACAGGAGGCAGGUAUGAUGUUACAGAAGGGUAAACUGAGGCCAUAAAGGAAGUACUGUCUUGUGCCUCCUCCUCUCAUGUCUGCUUACCUUGCAGCCCUGGGGGUGGGAGGUGGGGGUUCUCACAGUCUCUCUGGUGCCUUCUCCAAGCCUUGGAGCCCCUCUGUUCACAGGGCUCCGUGCUCUGUGGGGCUGGGACAGCAUUGUGGGCAGAGACCAAAGCUGACAUGGAAAUUGCCACUGGGCAUGGAGUGUCAGGGAGGGACCAGAUUUUCCGAUUGCCUUUGAAUUAUGCCAGGUAGGAAAGCCCCAUGCCAGGAUCGCAGAGCUAUCCUCAGCCAAGCAGAAAACAGGGUAGUCAAGGCCCCCAAGUAAGGCAAUGAGUUUAGAGUACAGUCCCUUCCUCAGAGGCCUCACUGGGUGACACAAAGAAAACUGCCCCCUGUCUGCCUGGCAAGGUAUCAUUCAGGGAACAAUUCUGGCCUGAUCUGAGCCAAUCUGCAUUCUGAAUGCAACCUCUGCCAUCCUCUUCUAUGCUGGCCACUCCUAGGCUCCCCUGCUCUGUUAGCAUGCAACCUUUCUAUACACUUGAGUGCACAGUUUCUGAUCUGUCUGUGAGUUAUGUAUGUUUCAGACAAGACUGGGCACGUUCAGGGUGGCACGGCCAUAGACUGAGUUAUGUAUACUUCAGUGUAGCUCAGUGGUUCUUGACUUUUUUCCACUGUAACCUACCUGAGGAAUUUCAGACCUUCCCCUAAGGAACUCAAGGACUCACUAUGCCUGAGACUGCCACCCAGAGAUGUAUUCGAGUUUAAGAGGGUGUUUCCGAAUUUUAAGGGCACUCUUUGCAAAGGGGAGGGGAGAAGACAAGAUCCUGCCCCACCUUCUUAUACUUGAAAAUUAUUGGUAAAUGUCAUUGGUCACAUGUAGUUCAGGUUCUUAGUAGGAAGACUAAGGUUUUUCUUCUUAAUUUAUAAUGUCUGGAUCCAGCUCACAAAGUGGCACAUUUCAAUUGUUGGCCAGAAACAACAAUAGCUGGACUGGAAUCAAAUUUCAUCAGAGUGAGGUCCAACCAUUCGUUGGCUUCUCCAGGUAUUGAUGGCAAGGGUCUUCGGAUCCCCAAAGAAAAGCCUUCAGCUUUCUGGUUGUCUGAGCCCUAUUCCUGCCCUUUGGUUUAUUUACUGUUUACCUCCACUAUAAUGCCAUUGCCUUCUUCCCUCUUCUGAAUAAUAAAAUGGAGCCACACAAAAGGAGGCACAUUGGCAAGAGGCCAGCACUCAGGCCGGGCUUUAUUGGCCCAGUGACUCCAGCCCAAGUGCACUCACAGCCAGCUAAUGGGUGUUUGGCAGCAGUGGGAGGGUCCUCAGGUGCUACACACUUCAACUGCAGACCCAAACCAGAAAAUCCUUUGGAGCUGUUGAAGUAGAUGUUAAGGAGAUGUGGAAUCACUAAAGGGACAGCAUAUAUCUUGUUUAUGAUUUCGGGGCCAGUAAGAAGCUACAGAAAAAAAGAUCCAAUGCCUUUUUCCUGGUGUUCAGUCCUGGAAAGUCAGUCUCUAGCCCAGUAAGCCACAGUCAGGAAAGUCCAGGAAUCCUGCUUCCUCCAGCCCUCCAAUGUAUGAUUGCCCAGCAUGACAACUAUAUCCUGACCUGUCAUGAUUCCCAUGCCACCGUUGCCAUAUAUUUCUUAAGGGAAUUUGGCAAAUUUAAAGGGAAGUCAGAAAGAACAAAGGAAGGGAGAUAACAUUUGGAAAGGAUGCAAGGAAGGAAGAGCAAGAAUAGCUGAGGAGAAAAGACAGAUCAAAGGGAAGGGCAGUGAUGACAGAGAAGCAGAGGAAGGGAAUUACCAGGAGGAAGUGGGAGGCACGAGGCAGCCUCCCCAUGGUACUCACGUGUUGUGCAGCACACACCAG